rnacentral:lncRNA from 1 species
GGCGGUGGCAUUGGCAAAGGUGGAGGACUUGGUGGUGGCAUUGGCCAUGGCAUCGGUGGCGGAUUGGGCAAAGGCGGAGGCAUUGGUCAUGAUAUUGGAGGUGGCUUCGGCAAGGGCGGCGGCCUCGGUGGCGGCUUCGGCAAGGGCGGCGGCCUCGGGGGUGGUGGAGGAGGUGGGUUCGGUGGUGGCAGCGGCUCCGGUGGAGGUUUCGGCAAGGGCGGUGGGUUUGGUUUCGGGUUUGGCAAAGGUGGAGGACUCGGUGAUGGUGGCAGCGGGGGCAUUGGUGGUGGCCACUGAUGUGUAUCCGUUCGGUCGUUCCGGCUCUGUCUGUAUGUGAUAUGUUUGCCAUCAUAAUAUUCUGUUUCGAUAAGAGCAGUAGGUACCAGGGAGAA